AACGAACGCUGGCGGCAUGCCUAACACAUGCAAGUCGAACGAAGGCUUCGGCCUUAGUGGCGCACGGGUGCGUAACGCGUGGGAAUCUGCCCUUUGGUUCGGAAUAACAGCUGGAAACGGCUGCUAAUACCGGAUGAUGACGAAAGUCCAAAGAUUUAUCGCCAGAGGAUGAGCCCGCGUUGGAUUAGGUAGUUGGUGGGGUAAAGGCCUACCAAGCCGACGAUCCAUAGCUGGUCUGAGAGGAUGAUCAGCCACACUGGGAAUGAGACACGGCCCAGACUCCUACGGGAGGCAGCAGUGGGGAAUAUUGGACAAUGGGCGCAAGCCUGAUCCAGCAAUGCCGCGUGAGUGAUGAAGGCCCUAGGGUUGUAAAGCUCUUUUACCCGGGAAGAUAAUGACUGUACCGGGAGAAUAAGCCCCGGCUAACUCCGUG
rnacentral:rRNA from 1 species